rnacentral:rRNA from 1 species
GACGAACGCUGGCGGCGUGCUUAACACAUGCAAGUCGAACGAUGAAGCGGCCAGCUUGCUGGUGGUGGAUUAGUGGCGAACGGGUGAGUAACACGUGAGUAACCUGUCCUUCACUCUGGGAUAAGCCCUGGAAACGGGGUCUAAUACUAGAUAUUCUCAAUGUGCCGCAUGGUGUGUUGUGGAAAGAUUUUUUGGUGAGGGUUGGACUCGCGGCCUAUCAGCUUGUUGGUGGGGUAGUGGCCUACCAAGGCUUUGACGGGUAGCCGGCCUGAGAGGGUGACCGGCCACACUGGGACUGAGACACGGCCCAGACUCCUACGGGAGGCAGCAGUGGGGAAUAUUGCACAAUGGGCGCAAGCCUGAUGCAGCAACGCCGCGUGAGGGAUGACGGCCUUCGGGUUGUAAACCUCUUUUAGCAGGGAAGAAGGGGCCCUUUUGGGGUUUGGACGGUACCUGCGGAAAAAGCACCGGCUAACUACGUGCCAGCAGCCGCAGUA